AAACAUUAUUAUCUUUUCAUGCAUCCUCUUAUAAAGAACAAAAAACAAUAUUGUAAAAUAUGCGUAAAUGCAUAUCUAUCCCAUAAAGAGCCCAUAACUUAUGGAAGUGAAUUUGAGUAAAAAGACACUAUAUAUGAAAGGAGAGAGGAGGGGGCCAAGAAAGAAAGCAUUGGAGGAAGAUCAAGCCGUCACUCAUUCUCCAACAUCAUCCUCACCUAACAAAAUUCCCUCCUUGGAAAUAAACCCUAACUCUAGCAUUCACAAUCAUUUGCAUUAUCUUUCCUUGGUUUUUUUUUUUUUUUGGAUGGAUAUUCAUCAUAUGAUUUUGAAAAUAAUAAUCUUACACGUCACCCUCCUCGUGACGUGUCCCUUUAGUAUGUGAUUUCACAUGUCUCCCGGUUACUCCCGUUAAUUUAGGUUUAUGGUGUCCAUUAUUACAAGCUAAUUGGCCUACUUUGAACACUAGCUAGCCUAUGAUCUUUUUUGGCACUCAAUUUUAGGAUUUUGAUUAAUUAAUUUGGUCUACGUUUUGAGCAAGAAAUGUC
rnacentral:lncRNA from 1 species